GAUGAACGCUGGCGGCGUGCCUAAUACAUGCAAGUCGAGCGAACGGACGAGAAGCUUGCUGCUCUGAUGUUAGCGGCGGACGGGUGAGUAACACGAGGAUACCCUCCCUAUAAGACUGGGAUAACUUCGGGAAACCGGAGCUAAUACCGUAUGAUAUUUUGAACCGCAUGGUUCAAAAGUGAAAGACGGCCUUGCUGGCACUUAUAGAUGGAUCCCGGCUGCAUUAGCUAGUUGGUAAGGUAACGGGUUACCAAGGCAACGAUGCAUAGACGACCGCAGAGGGGGGUAGGCGACCUUGGAACUGGGACACGGUCAAUACUCCUAAGAGAGGCAGCAGUCGGGAACGGUCCGCAGUGGGCGAAAGCAUGACGGAGCAGCGCCGAGUGAGAUAUGAAGGUCCUCGGAUCGGAAUACCCUAUUUCUAGGGAAGAACCUAUGUGUAAGUAAAUGAGGACAGCUUGACGGUACCUAAUCAGAAAGCCACGGCUAACUACGUG
rnacentral:rRNA from 1 species